ACUCAAAGGAAUAGACGGGGACCCGCACAAGCAGCGGAGCAUGUGGUUUAAUUCGAAGCAACGCGAAGAACCUUACCAGGGCUUGACAUCCCUCUGACAGGUGGGUAACGCCACCCUCCCUUCGGGGCAGAGGAGACAGGUGGUGCAUGGUUGUCGUCAGCUCGUGUCGUGAGAUGUUGGGUUAAGUCCCGCAACGAGCGCAACCCUUGUCAUUAGUUGCCAGCAGGUCGCGCUGGGCACUCUAGUGAGACUGCCGGGGAUAACUCGGAGGAAGGUGGGGAUGACGUCAAAUCAUCAUGCCCCUUAUGUUCUGGGCUACACACGUGCUACAAUGGCCGGUACAGAGAGAAGCGAGCUCGCGAGAGGGAGCAAAACUCUAAAACCGGUCCCAGUUCGGAUUGCAGGCUGAAACUCGCCUGCAUGAAGUCGGAGUUGCUAGUAAUCGCGAAUCAGAAUGUCGCGGUGAAUGCGUUCCCGGGUCUUGCACACACCGCCCGU
rnacentral:rRNA from 1 species